AUUGAACGCUGGCGGCAUGCUUUACACAUGCAAGUCGAACGGCAGCGCGGGCUUCGGCCUGGCGGCGAGUGGCGAACGGGUGAGUAAUGCAUCGGAACGUGCCCAGUAGUGGGGGAUAGCCCGGCGAAAGCCGGAUUAAUACCGCAUACGACCUGAGGGUGAAAGCGGGGGACCGAAAGGCCUCGCGCUAUUGGAGCGGCCGAUGUCGGAUUAGCUAGUUGGUGGGGUAAAGGCUUACCAAGGCGACGAUCCGUAGCUGGUCUGAGAGGACGACCAGCCACACUGGGACUGAGACACGGCCCAGACUCCUACGGGAGGCAGCAGCGGGGAAUUUUGGACAAUGGGGGCAAUCCUGAUCCAGCCAUGCCGCGUGCGGGAAGAAGGCCUUCGGGUUGUAAACCGCUUUUGUUCGGGAAGAAAUCCUCUGGGCUAAUACCCCGGGGGGAUGACGGUACCGGAAGAAUAAGCACCGGCUAACUACGUG
rnacentral:rRNA from 1 species